rnacentral:rRNA from 1 species
UACGUAGGGUGCGAGCGUUGUCCGGAAUUAUUGGGCGUAAAGAGCUCGUAGGCGGCUUGUCGCGUCGGAUGUGAAAGCCCGGGGCUUAACUCCGGGUCUGCAUUCGAUACGGGCAGGCUAGAGUUCGGUAGGGGAGAUCGGAAUUCCUGGUGUAGCGGUGAAAUGCGCAGAUAUCAGGAGGAACACCGGUGGCGAAGGCGGAUCUCUGGGCCGAUACUGACACUCAGGUGCGACAGCGUGGGGAGCAAACAGG